CUCCUGAGCAUGACCAGUCCCAGGACACCCCUUGGCCCAGGGAUAAAUGGUUUGCUCACCUCCUGUGAUGUUUCUCAAGUGUUGUCUGCAACCGUCACUCGAGCUGUCAGCUGGCAGGUCCGCAGUGGGAGCAUCUGCUGAGCAGAAGGGAAGUGGGGGGAGCUUGAAGCUGGGAAGGGGGUGAGAACCUCCCACUCCGUCCACGUCAUCCCUUCAUCCUGAGCCUACAAGCUGAGGAAAUCCUGCCCCAGGAUCAGGAUGGCAGGCACGUGACAAACUGAAGUGCACCGAGGCUGAGGACGAAGAAAGGACCAAUUGAUUGGAUUCUUGGAGCAACAGGCCCAACAGUGAGGCAUAAGUGUGGCAGGUGCCUUCCCUGAGUCCAGUCACUGUCCCCCACUCCCCCUCUCUCCUGAGAGCCCCUAACGAAGUCAGAAUAAACCACUGCAUUAACUUA